UACGGGGGGAGCACGCGUUGUUCGGAUUUACUGGGCGUAAAGGGCGCGUAGGCGGUCAGCACAAGUCAGUUGUGAAAUCUCCGGGCUUAACUCGGAAAGGUCAACUGAUACUGUGCGACUAGAGUGCAGAAGGGGCAACUGGAAUUCUCGGUGUAGCGGUGAAAUGCGUAGAUAUCGAGAGGAACACCUGCGGCGAAGGCGGGUUACUGGGCUGACACUGACGCUGAUGCGCGAAAGCCAGGGGAGCGAACGGG
rnacentral:rRNA from 1 species